ensembl:lncRNA
GAGCCUGAGCUCCGCCCAAAAAUCAGGCUUCCACAGCGUUACGCAGCCGCAGAUGUGAAUGAUGUUCACGGAUGUAGUUUCUUCAGGCAUCGGAGCAAACGGCUGAAACACCACAGAAGAUGAAAUGAAUGAUCGUCCAAGGCAAAAUGUGCUUGAACUGGGACAAAGAAUCAUCCCGUGGAGAAGACCCACAAAGAUGUGCAGCCGGGUCGGUGCUUUCCUUUCCGCCGGAAAGGUUGGAGUGGUGGCUAUCUCCCUCUGCCUUCAAAAAAAGUUUCACUCAGUAGCUAUCUUUUAUGGAGAGAGAGAGAGAGAAAAAGAACUUAACUAUAUUAGAAACUCACACAUAUUUUUUACGUUUGUUAAAAUUUGCAGAAAGGUUUUUGCGAGCGACCCAAUUAAAGCAACAAUCAUAAUGACAGACUCACUAUUUAAAUAA